AGGGUUUGAUCAUGGCUCAGGACGAACGCUGGCGGCGCGCCUAACACAUGCAAGUCGAACGAGCCGAGGGGAGCUUGCUCCCCAGAGCUAGUGGCGGACGGGUGAGUAACACGUGAGCAACCUGCCUUUCAGAGGGGGAUAACGUUUGGAAACGAACGCUAAUACCGCAUAACAUACCGGGACCGCAUGAUUCUGGUAUCAAAGGAGCAAUCCGCUGAAAGAUGGGCUCGCGUCCGAUUAGCUAGUUGGCGGGGUAACGGCCCACCAAGGCGACGAUCGGUAGCCGGACUGAGAGGUUGAUCGGCCACAUUGGGACUGAGACACGGCCCAG
rnacentral:rRNA from 1 species